rnacentral:tRNA from 1 species
UCCUUGGUAGCUCAGAUGGUAGAGAAUCUGUCUGCAAUACAGGAGACCCAGGUUCAAUCCCUGGCUCAGAAA